UAGUCGGGACCUAAGCUGAGGCCGAAAGGCGUAGGUGAUGGUCAACAGGUUGAUAUUCCUGUACUACCGAUAACCGUUUGAGAGAUGGGAUGACACAGUAGGAUAAGCUAAGCACACUGUUGGUUAUGUGUGCCCAAGCAUUGAGGCAGUCAGAGCAGGUAAAUCCGCUUUGAUAAUGCUGGGAUGUGAUGGGGAGCGAAAUUUAGUAGCGAAGUAGCUGAUUUCACACUGUCAAGAAAAGUCUCUAUCGAGGUUAAAGGUACCCGUACCGCAAACCGACACAGGUGGGUGAGGAGA
rnacentral:rRNA from 1 species